rnacentral:lncRNA from 1 species
AUGCAGCGAGAUGUUGGGACAGGUCACGUAGGUGCACGCUGUGCUCCACUGCAUUUCUUGUCCACGUCUGGGCGUCUGUCCUCCAGCCGGCGGUGGUCUCCUCACUCUUUUGGAAGGGGUCGGCUCCCGUGUGGGUCCCUGCAUGCCCACGGCAGUGAUCCGAGGGUUAGGCAUUUUUGUAUGGCAAGCACAGACCCAGGGAUUCCUCAGCAUGUUCCCAUCCAGCUGAGGACCCCCCUCUCCUUUCCACUGCAAGACAGCAGUGGGUGCCUGGGCUUAGCUGGGUGUUUUCUGCAGCCCCCAGACCCCUUGAGUUUACCUUCAGGGGGCUGUCAGGACAAAAGAGGCCAGAUGAGGCUGCCGGGGCAGCACGGUGGGCUGGGACGACCCCAAGAGCUCCCAGGACAGGUGGGAUGCCUGCACACCUUCCUGCCUGCCCCGGCUCCCUGCUGCAGCCUCCUCACCAUGGGAAUUGGGGAUUUGGGGUGUGGGAGCACCCCAAAAGAGAAGAGAGGAGCUGCCAGCAGGUCCCAGUGCGAGGAUGCAGGCAUGGGGAGGGGGGGCCGGGGUGCUGGGUGUGGGGAUCAGGCUGUGAGAGGCUCCCACAAACAACUAAAAAAAAAAACCCUGAAUAUUUCAGAAAGGUGUUUUCUCUGUUAUUUUUGCUCCCCUCCCUUUAUUCCCAGUCCUCCCCACCUCUCCCAGAGCUGCCCUUCAGCUCCGCUCCCCACCGAGCCGCUCCCGCAGCCGCCGAGCCCCACGCCGCAGCCUCCCCAAACUCCUCGUAUUUUUUUCCCAUUUGCUCCGUUUUUAUUUAUUUCCCCCUUCUUCUUUAUUUUUUUUUCCUUCCGUCUUCAUUUCUCCUUCCCCUUUCCUUUCCCUCCCACUCCCUUUUCUCACGGCAGACCCCUUCACCCCCCCUCCAACCCCCUUCCCAAGCUCGCCGCCACCGCCAACCCCGAGCCCUUGCGGGGCCGAGGGGCUGCGAGGCGCGGGGUGGCUCGGGGGGUCGCGGGGGGCUUUGCAUUGAUGCAUUGA